GAUGAACGCUGGCGGCGUGCCUAAUACAUGCAAGUCGAGCGAACGGACGAGAAGCUUGCUUCUCUGAUGUUAGCGGCGGACGGGUGAGUAACACGUGGAUAACCUACCUAUAAGACUGGGAUAACUUCGAGAAACCGGAGCUCAUACCGUAUAAUAUUUUGAACCGCAUGGUUCAAGAGUGAAAGACGGUCUUGCUGUCACUUAUCGAUGGAUCCGCGCUGCAUUAGCUAGUUGGUAAGGUAACGGCUUACCAAGGCAACGAUGCAUAGCCGACCUGAGAGGGGGAUCGGCCACACGAGAACGGAGACACGCUCCAGACUACUACGGGACGCAGCAGUAGGGAAUCGUCCGCAAUGGGCGAAAGCAUGACGGAGCAACGCCGCGUCAGAGAUGAAGGUCUUCGGAUCGUAAAACUCUGUUAUUAGGGAAGAACAUAUGUGUAAGGAACUGUGCACAUCUUGACGGUACCUAAACAGAAAGCCACGGCUAACUACGUG
rnacentral:rRNA from 1 species